GUAAGGAUAAGAUCAUAUUGUAUACUUUGUUAGUUAUCUAAUAUAUAUAUAAAUAUACAUAUAUGUAUAUUGUAUUCAUAAAUAUAAAAGAAUAUUGAUAAUUAAGCUCUAGUUUUCAAAAGUAUCUUUUCAUACUAAUAUGAUUUGUAAGAAAUUAGUGGCAGACUUAAACAUCCUGAAAAAUCAUGUAAAUAAUGUUUUAUUGUACUAGAACAACAAAAAAGCAACAUUAAAUUUAUUUGAUUCUCACUUUUUCUGCCUUUAGUUCUUGGAAGAGCUGGACAAUGAAAAAAAUAAUCUACUGCAUUUUAAAUAGUGAAAUGGACACAGACAAACAUGAUGGUUUAGAAUGGCCUUCAAGCUCACUCUCAGACAUCUUUCCCAUAACUGGACUGUACUACUGUUAAAAAUAGCUAUGAUGAAUUGAAAUGACUCUGUACUACUACCUCCUCUUUCUGUGGUUAGUCUUCACAGUUCUAUCACGGAAUACUAAUGCCGUGUAUAAGGACAUGUUCACCAUAACUCUGGCUAGAAGAUCAGAAAAGCUUAUUUGAGUGGAAACCAAACAAAAUCAGUAUGUCACAAAGUAAGCAACUUGCCUCAGUGAGUAUGAUGUUAUGUGUCUGUACUUUCUCACAAAUACAUAGAAGCGCACUUUCUUAAAAUCAGUAAUUGAAUGUUUUGUUCAUGAUUUCUAAAUUGAUAAUACUAACUAUUCUUUUCUGUAUUCCUGUCUAUUAGUGAAAUUCACAUACUAAUGAACAUGUAAUUGCAUGUGGAGCACCUCAUGGAAGUGAAAACUGUCAAGGUGAAAAUCAGCGUAUUCAGAUGGAGGUGGGAGAGAUACAGUCAUAUUCUGUCUCUGGAUGAAUGUUCUGAAUCUGUUGUUAAAGCUUACAUUUAUUUGCAAAAAGUGAAAAUUAAAAGCAUCAGGCUGGCAUGGAGAAAAGUAUUUACAGCUCAUAUUUAGGUAAGAGCAAAAUAACAAAUUCUCUUUGACAUUUUUACAUGUUUUAUUUUUCC
rnacentral:lncRNA from 1 species